rnacentral:lncRNA from 1 species
CUAGACUAGCAGUUCUAGUGGGUCCAAAUAAAUCCAUGUGAAUUAGUUCUAAGGGUUUUGUUGUUGAGACUAUGUUUUUAGGCUUGAAAGAGCUUCUCGUUUGUUUUCCUAAUUGACAUGCAGCACAAAUUUUGUUCUUUUCAAAAUCUAUCUUUGGUAGUCCUUUGACUAGAUCUUUUGUAAUCAAUUUAGAAAUUAAAUCCAUGCUAGCAUGUCCUAACCUACGAUGCCN